UUUAGGAUUAGUAGUAAACCAAGAAAAGGAGGAAGAAACAACAACUGUCUGAGUUAUAUCAUAGUAUCAUUGCGUCUGUAGCCACCUAAUUCUCUAGUCUUAGCUUCCGCGUUGUUCAAUUCAAUAGUUCCCAAUUUCUGUUUUCCCCAAAUCUCAAAACCCUAGCCUAUCGAUUGAAGCUGUGCCGUCCUCAAUUGAAGCAAGUGCGACUUCAUCUGCAGUCGGGCUCUGAUCGCCAACCUCGCCUUCUUUUCUAGUUUUGAGUUCUCUGCUCGCACAUCUCACUGGCGCCAUCUUCACGCUUCUGAUCCUCGUUGCCCUCUCAGCCCCGAUUUGCAGUCUUUGGUCACCGAUUCGGUACUAGUCUCUCUCUCUCUCUCCUCAACUGUGUUUAUUGCUUUCAUCUGGUUGGAUGUAGAAGUAGGGGAGAUGAUUUGACAGUGCUAGAUGGAUAUUAUAUGUGAAUACUCUGGGCUUCUAAAUCUGAUUGUACUUUGAGAUGGUGAUUUGAGGAUAUAUAUAUAUAUAUAUAUAUAUGGGUGCUAUUAUUGUGAUGGUGAUUUUCUAUCCAUGCUUUGGCUCCAAUUAUAGAGGAUUUGAUAAUUUCUUUGUUGAUUCGGUCACCUCUCUCACUUGAAUUAUGAAAUUUCUCUAUGGUCUGGGUUGUUGUGCUCCAAUUCGCCAGUUUUCCAGUUUUUCUUUUCAUAUCAAGGUUUGUUUGCCGUCAACCAAAAGAAAAAGGUGAUGAUGCAGUUUAUAUUUUCUUUUUGUGUGUGGACCGGUGAAUGUGGCUUGAUAAUUUGGAUUAUGGAUUGGUUCUCUAGCUCUACUGUGAAGUACAUGUCUGAAUUUGGUGAAGUAGUUUCUGAUUACUCUGAUAUUUGGACGUUGCUGCAUUCAAUUGAAAUUUGCCUCAGACAUUCUGCAAUAUUCUAUUCUAGUAAUAUGUGCUUCAUCUGUCAAUGGUUGCUUUAGUAUCACUCACUGAUAUCUAGAUUGAGCAUCAACAGCUUCCGACUUGUGCUUUGGCUUAUCAAUUUCUCAUGCACCCACCUCAGUGAGCAUUAGAUUCUUCAGCAGAAUUGGUAAUAUCCUCCCAAUUUUUCCACCCUAUCAUUGGAUUUGUGGAAUUGAUUUCUGGUUUAAUUUGCUAUGUCAUCAUCAGUUUGUCAUUUUCCUUUUAUAUCAAAGUUUGUGUCUGCCAUCAACCAAAGAAAAGGUGAUGAAGCAGUUUUAUAUUUUCAUUUUGGUCUGGUGAAUUGGCUUGGCAAGUUGGAGUACAAAUUGGUUGUAUGGCUCUAUGUGCUGGAUGUGUUGAGUUUGGAGGAGGUUUCCAUAUUUGAUGAGGAAUUUGAAAUUUGCUAUGGAAUUUGUUGUGCCUACUGUUUCUAGUGUGGUUACAUUGCUGCUGAUAUGGUGUUUGGAUGAAUCCCCUAGUAGAGAUGAGGUAGAGAUGAGUUGCUGGUUAUAUAUGAGUGCAUAUGGAGUUGAUAAUUAAGGCAGAAUUCUUCUAAUGUUUGUGCAAGAAGCUUUAUAUGGUUACUGGUAGAGUGCAAGUGUUUCAGAUAUGAAAGUUAAACAAGAUUCAAGUUCUUAUGGCAACAUAUGCAGCUUUUCAGUUUUUCAGUUUGUCAGAUUACAAUUGAAGAAAAAUAAUAAAAUAUAUGCAGUUUUCAGAUUUGGAUUUUUUAUUUUUCAGUUUUACAUAGUUUGCUGCUAUGCUACUGGGUUUAUUCUUCAUCAUGUUGCACUACUACCGGUGAGAUUCUUCCAGCAAGCUCUUUCUCCUCUUUUAUAUACCUGCUGCAAAUCAAGAUGGAAGCUAGUCUUAUCAUAUCAUGAUGGGUUUUUGAAUUGGAUGUUAUCUUGUAAUUGGCUAUAGCUGUGUAUUUUUCCAACCAGUAUGCUUGUUACCAAGCAUAUGGUUGAGGGGGGACUGUUAACAGUGUAGCACUUAUAUUAGUCUUUUGGCUUGUAAUACCUAUUGCCUAGCUGAGUUGUACUGUUCUCCUUAUCUAAGAAUUCACAAUGUAGUUCUUUACAGAUUUAACGUUUUCCUUUACUGCUUCCUUUUAUUUUCUGCAUCUGGCUUCAAUAAUCCAUGAUUUCUAGAAUCCUAUCAAGGUUUAAUCGUUGUUUUGGAUCUUGCUAAUGAUAAUUAUAGUAGGAUUUAUGUAGUUAUCCGUAAGAAGUCUAUUAAUUUUUUGUCUCAACUUCAAGCCUCAAACCCAAUGUACUUCGCAUAUUAGAGUGAAAAUUACAAACUGAAUUAAUUGUGAAUCAAAUGUAUUCGAUACAAUUGUGGUAGGUGCCUAGGCGGGUAGAUACUGUAGUAUGAAUUAAACAGGUAGCUCAUUCAUGAUUUGGUUCUGGUUUUGUGCUUCAUGCUCAG
rnacentral:lncRNA from 1 species